GACGAACGCUGGCGGCGUGCUUAACACAUGCAAGUCGAACGGAAAGGCCCUGCUUUUGUGGGGUGCUCGAGUGGCGAACGGGUGAGUAACACGUGAGUAACCUGCCCUUGACUUUGGGAUAACUUCAGGAAACGGGGGCUAAUACCGGAUAGGAGCUCCUGCUGCAGGGUGGGGGUUGGAAAGUUUCGGCGGUUGGGGAUGGACUCGCGGCUUAUCAGCUUGUUGGUGGGGUAGUGGCUUACCAAGGCUUUGACGGGUAGCCGGCCUGAGAGGGUGACCGGCCACAUUGGGACUGAGAUACGGCCCAGACUCCUACGGGAGGCAGCAGUGGGGAAUAUUGCACAAUGGGCGGAAGCCUGAUGCAGCAACGCCGCGUGCGGGAUGACGGCCUUCGGGUUGUAAACCGCUUUCGCCUGUGACGAAGCGUGAGUGACGGUAAUGGGUAAAGAAGCACCGGCUAACUACGUG
rnacentral:rRNA from 1 species